rnacentral:rRNA from 1 species
AGAGUUUGAUCCUGGCUCAGGAUGAACGCUGGCGGCGUGCCUAACACAUGCAAGUCGAACGAAGCACUUGCGAUUGAUUCUUCGGAUGAAGUCGCUUGUGACUGAGUGGCGGACGGGUGAGUAACGCGUGGGUAACCUGCCUCGUACUGGGGGAUAACAGUUAGAAAUGACUGCUAAUACCGCAUAAGACCACAGAGUCACAUGACUCAGUGGGAAAAACUCCGGUGGUACGAUAUGGACCCGCUGUCUGAUUAGUUAGUUGGUGGGGUAACGGCCUACCAAGACGACGAUCAGUAGCCGACCUGAGAGGGUGACCGGCCACAUUGGGACUGAAACACGGCCCAAACUCCUACGGGAGGCAGCAGUGGGGAAUAUUGCACAAUGGGGGAAACCCUGAUGCAGCGACGCCGCGUGAGCGAAGAAGUAUUUCGGUAUGUAAAGCUCUAUCAGCAGGGAAGAAAAUGACGGUACCUGACUAAGAAGCACCGGCUAAAUACGUGCCAGCAGCCGCGGUAAUACGUAUGGUGCAAGCGUUAUCCGGAUUUACUGGGUGUAAAGGGAGCGUAGACGGCUGUGUAAGUCUGAAGUGAAAGCCCGGGGCUCAACUCGCGGGACUGCUUUGGAAACUAUGCAGUUAGAGUGUCGGAGAGGUAAGUGGAAUUCCCAGUGUAGCGGUGAAAUGCGUAGAUAUUGGGAGGAACACCAGUGGCGAAGGCGGCCUACUGGACGAUCACUGACGUUGAGGCUCGAAAGCGUGGGGAGCAAACAGGAUUAGAUACCCUGGUAGUCCACGCCGUAAACGAUGACUACUAGGUGUCGGGGAGCAAAGCUCUUCGGUGCCGCAGCAAACGCAAUAAGUAGUCCUCCUGGGGAGUACGUUCGCAAGAAUGAAACUCAAAGGAAUUGACGGGGACCCGCACAAGCGGUGGAGCAUGUGGUUUAAUUCGAAGCAACGCGAAGAACCUUCCCUGCUCUUGACAUCCCUCUGACCGGACAGUAAUGUGUCCUUUCCUUCGGGACAGAGGAGACAGGUGGUGCAUGGUCGUCGUCAGCUCGUGUCGUGAGAUGUUGGGUUAAGUCCCGCAACGAGCGCAACCCUUAUCUUUAGUAGCCAGCAUUUCGGAUGGGCACUCUAGAGAGACUGCCAGGGAUAACCUGGAGGAAGGUGGGGAUGACGUCAAAUCAUCAUGCCCCUUAUGAGCAGGGCUACACACGUGCUACAAUGGCGUAAACAAAGGGAGGCAAGCCUGCGAGGGUAAGCAAAUCUCAAAAAUAACGUCUCAGUUCGGAUUGUAGUCUGCAACUCGCCUACAUGAAGCUGGAAUCGCUAGUAAUCGCGAAUCAGCAUGUCGCGGUGAAUACGUUCCCGGGUCUUGUACUCACCGCCCGUCA